AGGACUCUUAAACAAUACACUCCUUAAUCUUCCCCUUUUGGAUAAUACAAACAAUUGCUUCCUGGAAUUAUUUAAGCUCCCUGUGAUGCAUACCUUGUAUAUUAUGGGAUUAUUCCAUGUCAAAGGUGGAAAAAAUAUAUUUAAUUACACUCCUCUAUUUAAAAAGUAAUUUUAGAUUAAAAGUGUCUCCAGUAAACAAGUAUUUAAACUGACUUUUGGUCACUAGAUCCAAUUCUCAAACCUCAUCCUUCUUGACCUCUUCUCACACUGUCGAUCAGCCUCUCCUUUAAGGACCAUGCUUAAGUGAAGGGGCAGGUAAGUUCUCUAGGCAAUUGAGUAGGAGAUGGAAGUCCAGGCUAAAGAGUUCCCGUAGUUUCCAUCUGUUCAUUUACUUUUCUUAAAUCAGUCAACAUCCUCCAUUUUCCAGAUUUCUUUUUUACAGCAAAUACUGGGAAAAAUUCCAAGGACUUUGAGAAGGCUUUAAGUGUCCUUGGUCAAGUUGCUCCUAAAUUGUAUCACUAGCUAAGGGCCACUAUUCUACCCACACUGGUGUAUCAGUUUUCCAUUGAAUAGGAACAGGUGAAAGUGUAGGCAGGCCUUCAACAGUAUCCCUGCCCAAAAAGCCGAAGUACUCAUUUGUAAUCCUAACUCUGUUAAGAUGUCUCUUCCCCACAGAUUGAUAGAUUUUUUUUUACUACAAAAGGAGUAAAAACUCCUGUUUCACCUUCAAAAGGCCAUCUCAUAGGGGCAGCACUAACUUCACCUAUUGAUCCUCCUAUGCCACACAUGUGUCUGCCUUAAUCUUUGGCCAGUGAGUGGGCCAGUUGGCACCUCUAAUGACUGAAUGAUCUGUACGAGUGUCUACCAAUUCUUCUAAUGGUUUGCCAUUUAUAAAGAUAGUGAGCAUAGGUUAGUCAGCUGUCCAGUAUAUUCCUGGAUUCUGUUGUUGGGAGUCAGAAUCUGGGUAAAUAUCACCAGAUUGCUUAUUAGGAGUCUGUAUUAGUAAACCUGAUGCUACUACGUCUCCUGGGUGAUAAGUCACACAUUGUCUACCUGUAUUAGUGACUGGGAUAUUAGCUACACAUUCCCCAGUUUCCCAAAUCAGUUCAAAUGGAUGAACACUGUUUUAUAAGCACUCUCAAGAGGUGAAAUGGUCAAGUCCAUUGUGUGUGGAGGGCAAAGGAUCCAUAGGCUGGACAGGGACAGGUUUCCCCUCUACAGGGGGUAUAUCUCAGUAGUCCCAACUGCAUACAACUCUAUUCAUCAUCCUAAUUGCAAUCUCCUUCCCCCACAGGCUUGCUUAAAGACUCUCUGGGGGUAAUGAGUUGCCAUCAAUCCCCAAGUAUUUUUUGCCUGGGGCUCUGGAACAUGCCUAAAUGAAGGGGCAGGUCAAUUCUCCAAGAGCCUCCACAGCUGUGGAUUGUGACACUUGAGGGAGUUGUGGAGCAGCCUUUACUGACACAGGUGUUGCUUGUGGAUGGGAAAUGAAAUAAUUGGAGGCAGAAGGAAGAGGAGAAAGGUCAGACAACGCAAUGGCCUCUCAGUGGGGAGGUCAGAGAACAGUAACUGCUUCUCAGUCUCCUUGUAUCAUCCUCAUCCUCUCACAAGAAGAGAUCCAUUCUACGGGUUUGAGUUAGACAUCCAGCAGCCACUGGCAGUCUGGGAGAGGACAAGGCACAAUACAAAGACCUGGCGCUUCAUCUUACGUUUGACACAUACUGGUUGUGAAAUAAUGGUAAGUCAUUCUUCUCAGCUAAAUUUCAGAAAAGUUUUAGUUUGUAUUGGUAUAUCUUAUCAGGAGCUCCGUAAAAGAUGAAACCACAGGUUUGGUUUUUAAAAAAAAAGGAAAAAAAGGCUAGAUCUCUAAGGUCCUAUUAAGCUCAAGACCUAUGGCUUAUGGUGCCUAUCUCAUUGUAGCCCCUACUUUCAGAUUGCAGAAAGUGAAGAGUAUAUAGAAGUUCUGAUACAGAAGAGGUGGGGGUAGGGGAAGACACUUUGAAAUCUGUACAGAUAAGUGGGAGAAGGCCAAGGUAUGGUAAAUGGGAAAUUCUUUAGAUGACUAAAGAGGUACACAAAAGGGUAUUUGUAGUCUCUGCUUUAUGGGACUCCGUUCCUGGUUUGACUCUCCCUGAUGGCAUUCAAUGAGAGAUAAUGCUGGAAGAGUCUAGUUGUUGUGGUCCUUUGAAAAUGGCCUUGAUCUUUUACCCUAACGUUUGCUCUUUUGUUUUAGCUGAAAGAAUUAAUCUGAAGGCUCUGAUCUUGAGACUUUUGAAAGGUCAGGAGAGCAAGCCUCCAAAGUCUGAGAAUCAGGGAGUCUGGGUAUGCAAGAGUCUGGGAGUCAGUGUCCAUGCUGAUCAAAAACAUAGAUUGUAAAGAAUGUUACUGAUUACUACCCUAAUCAUGAGGAAGAAAUAGUACCUUUGAAGCACUAAAUCUGGAGCUCUGAAACCCCAAAUCCAGGUAAUAGAACUAGAAGUAAUAGAAAGAACCUAUCUAUACAUGAAAGAGUAUUGGAAGAGAAACAUAUAAGGCUGUGUAGUAGGCUGUGUCUUAACUUUAUGUCUAAGAUUUUGAUGAGCCUGUUCAGCCAUACUUUGCCCACUGCCUCUGUGUUCUGCUUCUUGAAUUUGCUACUGAUACUUUUGGGGGAGCUUUAAAUUGGAAAAUGAAAGCAAGCUAAACCAAAAUGUAAACACUAAUGAGAGUUCUGGAUUGUUUCUCUUGUAAUGUCUUUAUGCAGAGGCCUCAGAUCCUAGGAAAAUAUGAAGGACAGCCUGAAUUGAGAAAGCUCUCUGUUUUCUCUUGUGUGAAAAAGAAAUUCUGGAUCUUGGAAUUAAAACUGUGACUCUAGUCAGUGUUCUCCAGGUGUACACAUCUGACUCAAGAUUAUAAAUACUUUUAAGGCAAUAAGCUUCUACUUCUUUAAUAUCUCCUUACACAGUGUUGUAAGCAGUACUGGACAUAUGCUUCACAAACACUUGUUUUUGCAGGUAAGACUUUUCACUGGUCACAACAAUGGUGUUUUUUUGCUGCUGAUAAUUACAUAAUAAAGAGGAAAGUAAGCUA